GGAGAGGGAGCUGAGAAACGGCUACCACAUCCAAGGAAGGCAGCAGGCGCGCAAAUUACCCAAUCUAAUACAGGGAGGUAGUGACAAUAAUAACGAUACAGGGCCCUUCGGGUCUUGUAAUUGGAAUGAGUACAAUGUAAAUACCUUAACGAGGAACAAUUGGAGGGCAAGUCUGGUGCCAGCAGCCGCGGUAAUUCCAGCUCCAAUAGCGUAUAUUAAAGUUGUUGCAGUUAAAAAGCUCGUAGUUGAACUUUGGGCCUGGUUGGCCGGUCCGAUUUUUUCGUGUACUGGAUUCCAACCGGGCCUUUCCUUCUGGCUAACCUUGGUCCUUGUGGCUCUUGGCGAACCGAUUUUUACUUUGAAAAAUUAGAGUGUUCAGCAGCGUAUUGCUCGAUAUAUAGCAUGAAUAUAGAUAGACGUUUGGUCUAUUUUGUGGUUUCUAGACAUCGUAUGAUAUAGGACGGUCGGGGGCAUCAGUAUUCAAUUGUCAGAGGUGAAAUUCUUGGAUUUAUUGAAGACUAACUACUGCGAAAGCAUUUGCCAAGGACGUUUUCAUUAAUCAAGAACGAAAGUUAGGGGAUCGAAGAUGAUCAGAUACCGUCGUAGUUUAACCAUAAACUAUCCGACUAGGGAUCGGGUGGUGUUUUUUUA
rnacentral:rRNA from 1 species